UGUGAAUGUAAAUAAAAGACAUAAUGCAAAUAAGUUAUAAGUCGACCAGAACUAUUAAGAAUUGGAUGUGGGCGAAAGCUGAUAGAUGCAAAUAUGCGGGUGGAAACAAAUAUCCACUUCUUAGCGUCAGUAUAAUGGAAAAAUCGCUGAAUCAUGAUCUGUUACGAGGAGCUGAAUUUGAAAUUGAUUCGUAAUACUUAUAUCAGAAACGAACCAAAAAUAUACCUGAUUUUAGCCUACUCUGUUAAUAUACUUAUGUAAAUAAUUAUCAUAAAGUGUAUUUAAUUAGCUCUUUGUCAAGUUCACAUAGAUAAUA